rnacentral:rRNA from 1 species
GAUGAACGCUGGCGGCGUGCCUAAUACAUGCAAGUCGAGCGAACCACUUCGGUGGUGAGCGGCGAACGGGUGAGUAACACGUAGGUGAUCUGCCCAUCAGACGGGGACAACGAUUGGAAACGAUCGCUAAUACCGGAUAGGACGAAAGUUUAAAGGUGCUUCUGGCACCGCUGAUGGAUGAGCCUGCGGCGCAUUAGCUAGUUGGUAGGGUAAAGGCCUACCAAGGCGACGAUGCGUAGCCGACCUGAGAGGGUGAACGGCCACACUGGGACUGGGACACGGCCCAGACUCCUACGGGAGGCAGCAGUAGGGAAUCUUCGGCAAUGGGCGAAAGCCUGACCGAGCAACGCCGCGUGAAUGAUGAAGGCCUUCGGGUUGUAAAAUUCUGUUAUAAGGGAAGAACGACUUUAGUAGGAAAUGGCUAGAGUGUGACGGUACCUUAUGAGAAAGCCACGGCUAACUACGUGCCAGCAGCCGCCGUAAGAC